AUUGAACGCUGGCGGCAGGCUUAACACAUGCAAGUCGAGCGGGGGAAGGUAGCCUGCUACCGGACCUAGCGGCGGACGGGUGAGUAAUGCUUAGGAAUCUGCCUAUUAGUGGGGGACAACAUCUCGAAAGGGAUGCUAAUACCGCAUACGUCCUGCGGGAGAAAGCAGGGGAUCUUCGGACCUUGCGCUAAUAGAUGAGCCUAAGUCGGAUUAGCUAGUUGGUGGGGUAAAGGCCUACCAAGGCGACGAUCUGUAGCGGGUCUGAGAGGAUGAUCCGCCACACUGGGACUGAGACACGGCCCAGACUCCUACGGGAGGCAGCAGUGGGGAAUAUUGGACAAUGGGGGGAACCCUGAUCCAGCCAUGCCGCGUGUGUGAAGAAGGCCUUAUGGUUGUAAAGCACUUUAAGCGAGGAGGAGGCUACUUUAGUUAAUACCUAGAGAUAGUGGACGUUACUCGCAGAAUAAGCACCGGCUAACUCUGUGCCAGCCGCCGCCGUAA
rnacentral:rRNA from 1 species